rnacentral:rRNA from 1 species
UUAUAUACUUAUAAAAAUUAUUAUGCUAGAACUAGUAACAAGAAACUGCCCUUCUCCAAAAUGCAAAUGUACACCAAAACGGACAACACAUUGAUAAUUAACGUAAAUGAACUUAACAUAACAACCUUCACUAGAAAACCCUAUGUACCUCAACGUUAACCUUACACCAGAGCAUUACCGGAAAGAUUAAAAGAGAAAGAAGGAACUCGGCAAAUUUUAGCCCCGCCUGUUUACCAAAAACAUCGCCUCUUGCCUCCCAUAAGAGGUCCAGCCUGCCCGGUGACAAAGUUUAACGGCCGCGGUACCCUGACCGUGCGAAGGUAGCAUAAUCACUUGUUCUUUAAAUAGGGACUCGUAUCAAUGGCAUCACGAGGGCUGUACUGUCUCCUUUCUCUAAUCAGUGAAACUGAUCCCCCCGUGAAGAAGCGGGGAUUUAGCUAUAAGACGAGAAGACCCCAUGGAGCUUUAAGCCUAAUAUUUAGCCAGCCGACAUACCCUCUAAGCUAUAGAGGCCCUAAAUACCCGCUUUAGGUUGGGGGGACCGCGGAGUAUAACCAAACCUCCACGACUAAUGGGCCUCGCCCUUAUCCACGAACUACGCCUCUAAGAAUCAACAAACUGAUGUUUGAUGACCCGAAACAUUCGAUCAACGAACCAAGUUACCCUGGGGAUAACAGCGCAAUCCACUUCAAGAGUCCAUAUCAACAAGUGGGUUUACGACCUCGAUGUUGGAUCAGGGUAUCCUAGUGGUGCAGUCGCUAC